AGUUAUGAGAUGGGCCGGAAUGGAAGAGGAUACAGAAGGGAGGGAGGAAGCGACCACAGGGGUGUUGGUAGGGGAAGUUACCAUCAUGGAAGGGAUGGGUGUGUUAGAAACAGGAAAUGGUGACAGUGAAAGGGCAGAAGUUAUAGGGAGAUGUGAAAGGAAUUGGGCGUGGACAGAAGCAACAGGAGUUGGAAGAGAGGGUGUAGCAGCAGAGAUGGGUAAGGGAGGAGGAGGCAAAGAAACAGGAAGGGAAUGUGUGACUGGGAUUUGGAGUGGAGAAGGAGAGGGGGCUGGAAAAUAACAUGAACCGUCUGCCUUAAGGACAGGGUACAAGGCAGCAGGGGCUGGAGAGCAUGUGUUAACAUGAAUGGGCUGUGUGGGGGCUCCAGGGGCUGGUUGAGCCACCCCCCUUUCUGGCCAGGCCUUAUCAUAUGGAGGAGGGCUGGAAACGCCUUCAACAGAUUCAACAAAACAACCUUUUUCAUGAUACACAAAGACUUUCUUCCCCUCUAGGUCUAUCUCCUCCUCAAUCCACCCCUCCUUCUUAAUCCCUCGAGCCACCCGAUACCAAGAAUCUGCGGCCUUCAUUAACCCAUUAUCUAACAAUAUCCCAUGUUUAUCGUUUAAAAGUUUCCUCCAGUCUUCCGCCUGCAAUCUGCCACUGGGGGACAUAGUAAUACCACACAGUUUAAUAAUUUUCUUAAGUUUGGCUACAGCUAAGUCCCCAGCUCUUUCCUUUACAAGGUCACAUGCUAACCGACCCCGGGAGGGGCUAACAUUAGUUUGACCCAUUUAUACACAACAGUGGUAUGGAUAGAGAGAAGCAGACCCUGGACCAAAAGAGAGUGAGAGACUGAGAGUUAGAGAGAGAAAGAGAGAGAGAGAUUUAGGAAGAGAAAGAGAAGGAGAGAGAAAGAGACUGACUGAAAGAGAAAGAGAGGGAGAGAGAGAGAAAUUUAGGAAGAGAAAGAGAAGGAUAGAGAAAGAGACUGACUGAAAGAGAAAGAGAGGGAGAGAGAGAGAGAGAGAGAGAGAGAGAGAGAAAGAGUUAGGAAGAGAAAGAGGAGAGAGAAAGAGACUGACUGAAAGAGAAAGAGAGGGAGAGAGAGAGAGAGAUAGAGAGUUAUAGACUAAGGGAAACGUGCAUCAAGGUCACAUGUACGUCCUAGCAGAGCACAGAGAACCAGAGUGAUGCAAAAAAAAAAAAAGGGAGGGGGGAGGAGAGGGUGAAGCAGAGUUGCAAGCACAAAGUAUUUAACCAUGUAAGUGCCUAAGCACAGCUCUCCUUAGUACAAAAGAUAGAAUAGGAGCGCUACAAGACACAGAUAAAAUAUAGAACAAUUAACAUAUACAUGCACAAUAUACAGAUGUGAUUAAAUCACAAAGUCCUUAAAAUAAAUGCCGGCUUAUAAUAACUCAGGUCACAUACAUAGAAACACGCAAACACACAUACAACAACUUAACUCUUUGUUCGUUGUUUUUUUAUUAAAACAACAAAAGAAACGCCACGAUCUAUUUUUAAUAUGAAUCGGACAACUAAACCACCAGGGGCUAUUCUGCACACCUGAAUUUAAAUGAAAAACAACAAAAGAAACGCCAAGAAUGAAUAUUAAAAUAUUAAAAUAUUAAUAUAAUCUGGCCUAAAAACUCCAGGUAUAUUUGCACCCUGAAUUAAAUAAUCACAAGAAAGUAAAACAGAUUCUCAAACAGACACUUUCACACAUAAAACUCACACUCAGGACUCAGGCUGUAGAUAGACAAGUGACAGGUUCUAUAUAAAAGGGGACAUUCGGGCAUAUAUAUAUUACCUGUCUGAAGACGUUAAACACCGGAAGCCGAAUGUGAAGGCACGGAGAACAAGAGAAAUCCAAAGAAAGGAAAAUAUAGGUAAGUAACUCAUUUACCAUAUGCAGAGGUGAUCAGGCUCCGUUUCCAAUCUCUGGGAAUCCUUUGUUCUCCUGUCUUGGGAUCUGACGGCUACCUUAGUAACGUAUCCCUUUCGUCCCUGUUCGGGCGCCAAAAUUGUUUUGGAUCAAAGAAAACUUUGAUAAUUUGUCUAUCUACACCUUCCAAAUUAUCUGAUUAAUGCGUGCACGCUUUCCCUAGAAGUAAUUCACACCGGAGACAAAGUUUCUGAUCAGUGAAAAACUCAGGAAUGCUUUAUUCCCCGGAGUGGGGGCUCCUUCUUAAAGCAAAAAUACGUCACAGUUUAAACAUACAGUAUACAUUCACCAAUUGGUUAACAGAGAAAGGGGCUCUUGUUUAAACCCCCCUACAGGAUGUAGUGUCAUCAUUAUAGACUUCUGGAUACACGAUGGGAGGGGGGAGUGAGAAGUUUCUAUCAGUUCUAAACCACUGAUCCUCCAUUUAGCUAUACGUGGCAUAUAGCUGUUAACUGGCACAAAGGUAGUGGGGGAGGAGUUAGUAAAGGGAGUUAUCACAGGAACUUUGGUUACACAGGGUUUUAUUGAUUUGAAGGGGGGGGGGAGGCUAGCAGGAUGUGAGGAAUUUACAUAGUAAACAGCAGCUGACCACAUUGUAGGGGGGAAGGGAAUAUUUACUCUAGAAGCCAGUUUUAACAUAGUGAACAGAGAAUAAAUAGACAUUAGUAAAUAGCCAUUUUAUUCUAAUUCAUCUGUCCAUAACAG